rnacentral:rRNA from 1 species
CCUACGGGAGGCAGCAGUGGGGAAUAUUGCACAAUGGGGGAAACCCUGAUGCAGCAACGCCGCGUGAGUGAAGAAGUAUCUCGGUACGUAAAGCUCUAUCAGCAGGGAAGAAAAUGACGGUACCUGACCAAGAAGCCCCGGCUAACUACGUGCCAGCAGCCGCGGUAAU